rnacentral:rRNA from 1 species
UACGUAGGGUGCGAGCGUUAAUCGGAAUACUGGGCGUAAAGCGUGCGCAGGCGGUUAUGUAAGACAGUUGUGAAAUCCCCGGGCUCAACCUGGGAAUUGGCAUCUGUGACUGCAUAGCUAGAGUACGGUAGAGGGGGAUGGAAUUCCGCGUGUAGCAGUGAAAUGCGUAGAGAUGUGGAGGAACACCGAUGGCGAAGGCAGCCCCCUGGGCUGAGAUUGGACGCUCAGGCACGAAAGCGUGGGGAGCAAACAGG